GAUGAAGAACGCAGCGAAAUGCGAUACUUGGUGUGAAUUGCAGAAUCCCGUGAACCAUCGAGUCUUUGAACGCAAGUUGCGCCCGAAGCCAUUAGGCCGAGGGCACGCCUGCCUGGGUGUCACACGUCGUUGCCCCCCCAUCUACUCCUUCGGGAUUGCGGGGGGCGGAUGAUGGCCUCCCGUGCGCCUCGUCGCGCGGUUGGCAUAAAUGCCAAGUCCUCGGCGACGCACGCCACGACAAUCGGUGGUUGCGAAACCUCGGUUGCCCGUCGUGUGCGGUCGUCGCGCAUCGAGGGCUCGAAAAAAUUGCCGGGCUCUGGCUCGGCUUUCAACGCGACCCCAGGUCAGGCGGGGUUACCCGCUGAAUUUAAGCAUAUCAAUAAGCGGAGGA
rnacentral:misc_RNA from 1 species